AACGGCCCACCAAGGCGAUGAUGCAUAGCCGACCUGAGAGGGUGACCGGCCACAUUGGGACUGAGACACGGCCCAAACUCCUACGGGAGGCAGCAGUGGGGAAUAUUGCACAAUGGGGGAAACCCUGAUGCAGCGACGCCGCGUGAAGGAAGAAGUAUUUCGGUAUGUAAACUUCUAUCAGCAGGGAAGAAACUGACGGUACCUGACUAAGAAGCACCGGCUAAAUAC
rnacentral:rRNA from 1 species